rnacentral:tRNA from 1 species
GUUCCUGUAGCGCAAUGAAUAGCGCGUUGGACUUCAAAUCCAAAGGUCGUGGGUUUGAAUCCCUUUUGGAAUA